GCUCAGAAACUACAAAGGAAUUGACGGGGCCCGCGACAAGCGGUGGAGUAUGUGGUUUAAUUCGAUGCAACGCGAAGAACCUUACCUGGUCUUGACAUCCCGGAGACCCUUAGGAAACUAGGGGGUGCUUCCAUCUGGAAGAAUCUGGAGACAGGUGCUGCAUGGCUGUCGUCAGCUCGUGUCGUGAGAUGUUGGGUUAAGUCCCGCAACGAGCGCAACCCUGCCUUUAGUUGCCAGCAGUUCGGCUGGGCACUCUAAAGGGACUGCCGGUGUUAAACCGGAGGAAGGUGGGGAUGACGUCAAGUCCUCAUGGCCUUUAUGACCAGGGCUACACACGUACUACAAUGGCCGAUACAAAGGGCAGCGACACUGCGAGGUGAAGCCAAUCCCGUAAAAUCGGUCUCAGUCCGGAUUGGAGUCUGCAACUCGACUCCAUGAAGUUGGAAUCGCUAGUAAUCGUGGAUCAGCAUGCCACGGUGAAUACGUUCCCGGGCCUU
rnacentral:rRNA from 1 species